rnacentral:rRNA from 1 species
UCGAGAAUCUUCCGCAAUGGACGAAAGUCUGACGGAGCGACGCCGCGUGGGGGAUGAAGGUCUUCGGAUUGUAAACCCCUUUCAGCAGGGACGAAAAUGACGGUACCUGCAGAAGAAGCCCCGGCCAACUACGUGCCAGCAGCCGCGGUAAGACGUAGGGGGCGAGCGUUGUCCGGAUUUAUUGGGCGUAAAGAGCUCGUAGGCGGUUGCGUAAGUCGGAUGUGAAAACUCAGGGCUCAACCCUGAGACGCCAUCCGAUACUGCGCUGACUUGAAUCCAGUAGGGGAGUGUGGAAUUCCUGGUGUAGCGGUGAAAUGCGCAGAUAUCAGGAGGAACACCCAUGGCGAAGGCAGCACUCUGGGCUGGUAUUGACGCUGAGGAGCGAAAGCCAGGGGAGCAAACGGGAUUAGAUACCCUUGUAGUCCCUGAGCGGGCUGGCAAGGCGCAU